rnacentral:rRNA from 1 species
GAUGAACGCUGGCGGCGUGCCUAAUACAUGCAAGUCGAGCGAACGGAUGAGAAGCUCGCUUCUCUGAUGUUAGCGGCGGACGGGUGAGUAACACGUGGAUAACCUACCUAUAAGACUGGGAUAACUUCGGGAAACCGGAGCUAAUACCGGAUAAUAUUUUGAACCGCAUGGUUCAAAAGUGAAAGACGGUCUUGCUGUCACUUAUAGAUGGAUCCGCGCUGCAUUAGCUAGUUGGUAAGGUAACGGCUUACCAAGGCAACGAUGCAUAGCCGACCUGAGAGGGUGAUCGGCCACACUGGAACUGAGACACGGUCCAGACUCCUACGGGAGGCAGCAGUAGGGAAUCUUCCGCAAUGGGCGAAAGCCUGACGGAGCAACGCCGCGUGAGUGAUGAAGGUCUUCGGAUCGUAAAACUCUGUUAUUAGGGAAGAACAUAUGUGUAAGUAACUGUGCACAUCUUGACGGUACCUAAUCAGAAAGCCACGGCUAACUACGUG